rnacentral:rRNA from 1 species
UACGUAGGGUGCGAGCGUUGUCCGGAAUUACUGGGCGUAAAGAGCUCGUAGGUGGUUUGUCGCGUUGUCCGUGAAAACUCACAACUCAAUUGUGGGCGUGCGGGCGAUACGGGCAGACUGGAGUACUGCAGGGGAGACUGGAAUUCCUGGUGUAGCGGUGAAAUGCGCAGAUAUCAGGAGGAACACCGGUGGCGAAGGCGGGUCUCUGGGACGGUACUGACGCUGAGACGCGAAAGCGUGGGGAGCGAACAGG